rnacentral:lncRNA from 1 species
AUGACUUGUACCCCUGUGGAGCUGGGCCAGCUGGCAGGCUUGGCGUGGUGGACAGAAAUGCCUGGUGCAUCUCCACAAAUCCCUGGAGAUAUUGAGUCUUUUUGGGCCCAGACAUGGAGGGACUCUGUUCCUUGCAAGAAAAGCAGUUGCAUGGCAAAGAGCUUUCACGCCGGGCGAAUGGAGGAGUCACCAUCUCAGCUGAUGGACGUUCCAUGCAGCCUGGAGCUGAAGAAACAGACUGAAGCACAAAAAGGAUCACGGACUAUAGAUCUGCACCUCUUACAAGGUCUGUCAUCGUGAAACUCUCUGUAAUUUUCUUUCCCUGCCCCCCACCCCAGCAAAAACUUGUCCAAAAGCUGGUGUGAGAUGGACG